GAAUUUUAGGUAUUUUCUCGGAUAAAAUUGGAACAAUAUAGAGAGGAUUUAUGUGACCCCUACACAAUGAUGACACACAAAUCGAGAAAUGGUCCAAAUUUUC